CCUACGGGAGGCAGCAGUGAGGAAUAUUGGUCAAUGGGCGUAAGCCUGAACCAGCCAAGUCGCGUGAGGGAUGAAGGUUCUAUGGAUCGUAAACCUCUUUUAUAAGGGAAUAAAGUGUGGGACGUGUCCUGUUUUGUAUGUACCUUAUGAAUAAGGAUCGGCUAACUCCGUGCCAGCAGCCGCGGUAAUACGGAGGAUCCGAGCGUUAUCCGGAUUUAUUGGGUUUAAAGGGUGCGUAGGCGGCCUUUUAAGUCAGCGGUGAAAGUCUGUGGCUCAACCAUAGAAUGGCCGUUGAAACGGGGAGGCUUGAGUAUGUUUGAGGCAGGCGGAAGGCGUGGUGUAGCGGUGAAAUGCUUAGAUAUCACGCAGAACCCCGAUUGCGAAGGCAGCCUGCCAAGCCAUGACUGACGCUGAUGCACGAAAGCGUGGGGAUCAAACAGGAUUAGAUACCCCUGUAGUC
rnacentral:rRNA from 1 species